GCUGUUAUGGAGUUAAAAAUGUUUUCUCUGUCACUCAGUUAAAGUUUUGAGAGUUUAUUAACGGAUAUCAUUGCAAAUACAACAUAUAUAUGAAAUAUAGGAGAUAUACAGUUUUAUUUUAAGUCAUUUCCAUUUUUCUCGUAUUUCAAACGAAUUUCCUUACCAUGCGGAGUCGCUUUUCCCGGAAACUUGUUGUUUUUUAUGAAUGUUUUUGUUUUGAUUUCUUUAUUUUGAAAAUUUUGUAUGUUUAUAUUGUUUGUUUAUAUUGUAGCUGAACCUUUUUAUUUUUUUACACUAUUUUGAAGAAUCUUAUUUUAAAACUUUUUUCUAUUUUUCGAAAUAUUUAAGUGCUUUUAUGAAGGAAAUAUUAUUGCUAUAUAGUAAACUAGACAACCUAUUAGAAGUCUAAUAUACUACUAGUGUAUUUGACUUCUAAUAUGCGUUCAGAUUAGUACUGCUAGUAUUACUAGCAGUAUUAAUCUUUACGGUACAGGUAUUAUAGUUUAGGCAGGAAUAACUAUAAAGAGUUUUUGACUGUUAACAGUCUUAAACUCUAUAAAGUUGUUCCUGCCUAAACUAUAACGCCUGUAUCAUACAGAAUAAUACUAUCUAUAACUAAUGUCUAAUAACUAAUAAUUACUAGUAAUAUACAAGUGUCUUAUAAUUAGUUAUUAGACACAUUAGUAUAGUAAUUAGAUCUAUAUAUUAUAAGAUAGUUAUUAUUACUUAUUUAACAGUUGACAAGAUAGUUUUGUUCGCCAUAUUGUAGUGGAUAAAACACUCUUAUAUUUGUGAUCUACAAUGGUUUAGUUAGGAGAAUGCAUGACUACUGGUAUAGAAUAGAAUACAAGAUAGAAAACAAGACUAAAUAGAAAGCAAGACUAACUAGGAAAUAGGAAAUAACGCAUUCACCUUCCUUUAUUAAAUUAAGAAACUAUGAUUGUAUCAAGUUAACUAUAUUUUAUGGUAGGCAAGUUGGCAUACCUGCAAGACUUACAAGUAAAGGACAUAAAAAUGCCUUGAACAAUAUAUGAUUAAAUGAACAAAGAAUAAAAAAUGCAUUAUCUGAAAAUCAAUUAGAAUGUAGAAUGAAGAUUAAUUAUCAGUCCGGAAGUGGGUUUAAUUGUUCCUCUCCUGUCUUAAUUCCUAGAGAUACAAUUAAAAAAAAGUUGUUAGGUUUGGCUGAUAUUAGCAGUCAGAUUGGAGUUUCAGCAAAAACGCUAUUUAUUCUAGAACACGAUUUUUACAAAAAUUCUGUUUUGAAUAAAAUAUUCUAAAAAUAUAAUAAGGCAACUUAACGUGAUCUUGUACAAAUAAUUGCCAUCGCCUUGCUACACUAAUAGCUGAUUAUACGGUUUCGGAUGCUGAAAUGACUAUCAAACUUCAGCAGCUUACUAUCUUUUUAUAGGGAAAGUGUCUUGGACCUUUUUAUCAAAACUCCUGUAUAUAUAUAAAGAUAUUUUGAUUUGUUUGAAUUGUUUUUAAAGUAGCUAUUUUUAUUUUUUUAAUGAUUGAUUUUUGCAAGAAAUAUUGUUAUGAGAAAAACAAAAGAACACAAUAAAAUUUACUGAAGUUUUUUUAACAAGAUGUAAAGCAAGACUUUUAAAAGCAAUUAAAGUUAAGAGUAGCACUGCAAGCAGUUUAAAUGAAUUAGGUCGACAAGAUAUUAUUAAGUUUGGAUCAAAAUACAGAUCUAGCCCAGACACUGUUGAAAACAAAAUCAUUAACGAAAUAGCAUAAAAGAUGCGAACCUUUUCCGAAGUUCUAACGACAUUAAAACUUAUUUUUUUAAAGUUAAUUUAAAACAGUUCCAAAUAAAAUUUAUACUUUGAA
rnacentral:lncRNA from 1 species